AUUGAACGCUGGCGGCAGGCCUAACACAUGCAAGUCGAACGGCAGCACAGAAGAGCUUGCUCUUUGGGUGGCGAGUGGCGGACGGGUGAGUAAUGUCUGGGAAACUGCCCGAUGGAGGGGGAUAACUACUGGAAACGGUAGCUAAUACCGCAUAACGUCGCGGGACCAAAGUGGGGGACCUUCGGGCCUCACACCAUCGGAUGUGCCCAGAUGGGAUUAGCUAGUAGGUGGGGUAAUGGCUCACCUAGGCGACGAUCCCUAGCUGGUCUGAGAGGAUGACCAGCCACACGGGAACUGGGACACGGUCCAGACUCCUACGGGAGGCAGCAGUGGGGAAUAUUGCACAAUGGGCGCAAGCCUGAUGCAGCCAUGCCGCGUGUAUGAAGAAGGCCUUCGGGUUGUAAAGUACUUUCAGCGGGGAGGAAGGCGGUGAGGUUAAUAACCUCGCCGAUUGACGUUACCCGCAGAAGAAGCACCGGCUAACUCCGUGCCAGCAGCCGCGGUAA
rnacentral:rRNA from 1 species